rnacentral:rRNA from 1 species
UAGCUUGCUASMYGCUGACGAGCGGCGGACGGGUGAGUAAUGCAUAGGAAUCURCCCGGUAGUGGGGGAUAACCUGGGGAAACCCAGGCUAAUACCGCAUACGUCCUACGGGAGAAAGGGGGCUCCGGCUCCCGCUAUCGGAUGAGCCUAUGUCGGAUUAGCUAGUUGGUGAGGUAAUGGCUCACCAAGGCAACGAUCCGUAGCUGGUCUGAGAGGAUGAUCAGCCACAUCGGGACUGAGACACGGCCCGAACUCCUACGGGAGGCAGCAGUGGGGAAUAUUGGACAAUGGGCGAAAGCCUGAUCCAGCCAUGCCGCGUGUGUGAAGAAGGCCUUCGGGUUGUAAAGCACUUUCAGCGAGGAAGAACGCCUAGUGGUUAAUACCCAUUAGGAAAGACAUCACUCGCAGAAGAAGCACCGGCUAACUCCGUGCCAGCAGCCGCGGUAAUACGGAGGGUGCAAGCGUUAAUCGGAAUUACUGGGCGUAAAGCGCGCGUAGGUGGCUUGAUAAGCCGGUUGUGAAAGCCCCGGGCUCAACCUGGGAACGGCAUCCGGAACUGUCAGGCUAGAGUGCAGGAGAGGAAGGUAGAAUUCCCGGUGUAGCGGUGAAAUGCGUAGAGAUCGGGAGGAAUACCAGUGGCGAAGGCGGCCUUCUGGACUGACACUGACACUGAGGUGCGAAAGCGUGGGUAGCAAACAGGAUUAGAUACCCUGGUAGUCCACGCCGUAAACGAUGUCGACCAGCCGUUGGGUGCCUAGCGCACUUUGUGGCGAAGUUAACGCGAUAAGUCGACCGCCUGGGGAGUACGGCCGCAAGGUUAAAACUCAAAUGAAUUGACGGGGGCCCGCACAAGCGGUGGAGCAUGUGGUUUAAUUCGAUGCAACGCGAAGAACCUUACCUACUCUUGACAUCCUGCGAACUUGUGAGAGAUCACUUGGUGCCUUCGGGAGCGCAGAGACAGGUGCUGCAUGGCUGUCGUCAGCUCGUGUUGUGAAAUGUUGGGUUAAGUCCCGUAACGAGCGCAACCCUUGUCC